CAUUGUCCCUAAUCAAACAUUCUCUAUCGCGUGUUAUUCACGUUCCAAAACACGUUCAAGUAAUUAACCAACGCAAACGUUAAUAGAAACAUAUAGAUAGUCAACUAUCCUAUCCAAGUAUACACGAGUCAAAGAGGUAGACCGGCUUUAAUAAUUCAGAAUACGGAAGCGAAAUCAAUCCUGGACAAAUACGUUCACGUGGAGUGGACCUUUGGACGUUCACUAGUGGAACAGCGCAAUAAAACCGAAAUAACGUAUUAACGUUGAAGAUAAAAGGGUGCGGAGAUGAGAUUUUUUUACCGACCGUAAUCCGUUUCAUUUCCGUUUCAGGAUUAUUUGUAGGGGGAUUCGCGUAACAACGUAUACCAAAAAACGAACGGAACUCUACUCGAACUCCUCUCUAGAAAUACGAUUCACUUCCUCUUCCCUUUUUCUUUGCUGACUAUCCGUCAAACGUUCGAAGACAAAUGACUUGGUCGACAAAUGUUUCGUCCAAGAAUGUAACAAAGAAGAUAUAAGAUUUUUGUCCAUGAGGUUUAUAAUUUGAUUGCGGUGGAAGGAAUUCUUGAGUACUAUUUAAUCACAGAAUCAUAAAUUACAAAAAACAAAUCCAGAUAUUUCGAUCACCAGAUUCAAUUUCAUUCCCACCAACAUAUUUUUACUACAUGAAGACACCUUCUUCAACUAAGAUUACAUUUAUACACUUGUUUAUUUCAACACGAAUGUCUACAAGGAACAACUCACUUAAACAUAUUCAUCAUAGACACGUGCCACGGCUAAAGAAUUAAUUAAUCGCAAGACAUACACGACACAAUGCUAAACAAAGAUCGUCCAUUCAAAACGCUCUUUAUCGCCUUCAAGAUCCUUUGAGAGAAUUUCAAAACUAUACCAACACAACUCGGAAGAGAAACGCGCGUUAUUACGAAUUUCAUACGAGUUCGUUACAAGACUCAGUUCCCGAAAUACGACCAGCAUCUCGGUUCAAUCUUCCACGGAGAUUGAAGCACCGUUGGGACAUGUAACUUCGAAUAUGAAUACAUUGAGGGACGCUUGUCCGUGUUACGGACGGAACACGACGAAAAUGUUGGUAACACGCAUAGUAGUACGUUUCUAUGUAGACCAGCAUGUUUCCAUGAGCGCAGCUUUGUGUGUGAAUUCAAAUGAGAGACGUCGGUUCCCGUGUAGAUGCGUGUAAUGGAUAUUUGGCCUAGGAGAAGACAUAGUUGUGCACGUGCAACGGAAAUGUCGGAUGAGUGCUGCUACACAAUUUAAGUGUAGUUCCAUUUGAACAUAUUAAUUAUUCAUUUUACACGGCGCUUCAACGACGCCCUUGGUUUCGAUUGGUUUGUCGCGUGAAAUCGGUUACCUAAUUAUAUCGACUGUGAUUUAGACGUUGAGACCGAUUUAUUGCUUUGCAGUCUGGUAUACAUAUUCAGCUCGAAGGGUGAACGUUCGCGGAUUCCGUUUCGAGAAGUCCGCUUCGCGUCAGGAUCGUCGUAUGCGUCGUUACUGAUGCGGCUUGGAUGAGCGAUUCUGGAAAUUCAAUUAUCAAUUCAAUUAUGAAGCAUUAAAGGACUGCUCCGGAGUUAUGCUAAUCAUGAGAGUGCGGAUGUUACGAUUCUACGGUUAGAAUUAUUAUCAUAAAUUUACUUACAAUAAGGAAAUUUAGAAAACUAACUUUUCUCUAUUACAUAAAUGGACCUGACCAGAGUAGUAUACCAAUCAACAUUAAAUUAAUAUCGAACCUUGAAUCACGAGUACAUGUUGAUUACUACAUAAAUAUUGUAUGAAUAAAAGUGCAGUUGAAAAUGAACAUUAACGGGGGCAUUGCUAAAACGUCGUGUAAGAUGAAUGAUAAUUAAUAUAAUUAAAAUACAUGGGUAUACAUACUUAAAAUAAAUGAAAUACACUUAAAUGUUACUAUCGAUGAAUCUCAAAACUGUAGCAAUCUCUAGUUAUCGCAAUAUGAUAACGACGAAUUUCAAUUCGCAGGACCCCACGACCACAAAGUACUUAAUGAACACCAUACUAAUAACUCGAGGAUAUUGUAUAGAUAUCAGGUUCCACGAUGCAGAAUUGUCAGUAUCAGCUUUCAAGACCCGUAGCUCGUCGUUAUCGUAGGCAAAAGCUCGUCGUAAUCAAAGAUUCAUCAGAAAUCACGUGAUACGUGUAUUAAAUUACGUGUUACUGGACGUCUUAUUAAAAAACACUAUCCAACAACGAAUGUUUUCGAAUACGAUGACCAAAUGACAUUGUAUUAAACAGUAUCGAGUUUCAAAUAGAUUGAAUCGUACACCGCAAAAAUCGAUAUACCCAGCACUCUCGGCGCAUCCAGUGCGCUCAUUUAUCACCAUGUCACUAUAGCGAUCGCAUAAAUCAAACCAAAAGCGUACAGCUCUGGUUGCACCUUCGAAUCUUCGAUGCACCGGUUUUAAAACUCGAACGUGGCUCGUUCUGCCGAUUCGAUGUGGGACAAAACCAGCAGACAAAGGGCAUUGUCUUCCUAACAUUCGGAAAAAUGAUCCAAUAAAAUGAUGAUAAAUCUUGAUCCUCAGCGGCUCAGCGCAAAACCAGAAUAUUCUUCUUCGUGUAGUUUCAUAUUUGUUUUUGGUAAGACGAUGAAAAAUUGUCAAACAACUCUUGUUAAUUGUGUUGAAUGAGUAACUCACUGAUUCGCCAAGUGAUAAAUACGAUCAAGUCACUAUGGCUAAAUACAUUAAUCACUAGUCUCUCAUUCAGAAUUUAGUUUAGUUAGUCAUCCUGUAACUGAGGCUCAUGGCUAUUUUCUCUCUACCAAAGUCAAAUAUAUAAGAUAUGAUAAUAGAUGUUAAAUUUAAAUUGAUAAUUUUGAAAGAUUGAUUUUACGGUAGACUAGA